rnacentral:rRNA from 1 species
AUUGAACGCUGGCGGCAGGCCUAACACAUGCAAGUCGAGCGGCAGCGACUUAACUGAACCUUCGGGGAACGUUAAGGGCGGCGAGCGGCGGACGGGUGAGUAAUGCCUGGGAAUAUGCCCUGAUGUGGGGGAUAACUAUUGGAAACGAUAGCUAAUACCGCAUAAUCUCUUCGGAGCAAAGAGGGGGACCUUCGGGCCUCUCGCGUCAGGAUUAGCCCAGGUGGGAUUAGCUUGUUGGUGAGGUAAUGGCUCACCAAGGCAACGAUCCCUAGCUGGUCUGAGAGGAUGAUCAGCCACACUGGAACUGAGACACGGUCCAGACUCCUACGGGAGGCAGCAGUGGGGAAUAUUGCACAAUGGGGGAAACCCUGAUGCAGCCAUGCCGCGUGUGUGAAGAAGGCCUUCGGGUUGUAAAGCACUUUCAGUAGGGAGGAAGGUAGUGUAGUUAACACCUGCACUAUUUGACGUUACCUACAGAAGAAGCACCGGCUAACUCCGUGCCAGCAGCCGCGGUAAUACGGAGGGUGCGAGCGUUAAUCGGAAUUACUGGGCGUAAAGCGCAUGCAGGCGGCCUGUUAAGUCAGAUGUGAAAGCCCGGGGCUUAACCUCGGAAUUGCAUUUGAAACUGGCAGGCUAGAGUCUUGUAGAGGGGGGUAGAAUUUCAGGUGUAGCGGUGAAAUGCGUAGAGAUCUGAAGGAAUACCAGUGGCGAAAGCGGCCCCCUGGACAAAGACUGACGCUCAAUGCGAAAGCGUGGGGAGCAAACAGG